ensembl:lncRNA novel transcript
GGAGGAGUUGAGGCGCCUUGAAUUUUCCUUCGCGAGUUUGGAGACCAGCCGAUUUUUCAUGAAGCAAGCAAGGGCCGCGGUCCCGGAUCCUGCAACAUAUACCUCAUUUUCUCCAGGCCUCUCCACUUGCCCGAGCUCUCAGCCACCAGGAGACAGACGGAAGGGGCUUCUGGGCUGUGUUGGGAGCGGGCAUUGUCCCCUACCCACUCCUGCACAGUUUCCCAAAGUCCAGCGACCUCCGACCCUCCUUGGGGAAAAAAAUACCAGUACCCAGACACCUCUGCACCCUGUUAUAUGACUGGGCUUGCUUCAGGAAUAUCUUACAAAGAAGAAGAAGGAGGAGGAACGGCUUGGAGUCAUGUUUACAUCUAGUUCUACUGAUCCGUUCACAUCUGGAGAGUUUAUUUAUAACUCCCUCUAUAACUCUCUGUUUGGAGGC